GAUGAACGCUGACAGAAUGCUUAACACAUGCAAGUCUUUGGCGAAGCUGUGCUUGCACAGCCUAGCCAAGGCGGACGGGUGAGUAACGCGUAAGGAACUUGCCCUGCAGUCAGGGAUAACAGACGGAAACGACUGAUAGGACCUGGUAAAGUCAGGCGGACUCAUGUCCAGCCUGAUGAAAAGAGAUGCUGCAGGAGAGCCUUGCGUCCUAUUAGCUUGUUGGUGGGGUAACGGCCCACCAAGGCGAUGAUAGGUAGCCGGCCUGAGAGGGUGGACGGCCACAAGGGGACUGAGAUACGGCCCUUACUCCUACGGGAGGCAGCAGUGGGGAAUAUUGGACAAUGGGGGCAACCCUGAUCCAGCAAUUCUGUGUGCACGAUGAAGGUUUUCGGAGUGUAAAGUGCUUUCAGCAGGGAAGAAAAAAAUGACGGUACCUGCAGAAGAAGCGACGGCUAAAUACGUG
rnacentral:rRNA from 1 species